rnacentral:rRNA from 1 species
GACGAACGCUGGCGGCGUGCUUAACACAUGCAAGUCGAACGGAAAGGCCCUGCUUUUGUGGGGUGCUCGAGUGGCGAACGGGUGAGUAACACGUGAGUAACCUGCCCAUGACUUUGGGAUAACUUCAGGAAACUGGGGCUAAUACCGGAUAGGAGCUCCUGCUGCAUGGUGGGGGUUGGAAAGUUUCGGCGGUUGGGGAUGGACUCGCGGCUUAUCAGCUUGUUGGUGGGGUAGUGGCUUACCAAGGCUUUGACGGGUAGCCGGCCUGAGAGGGUGACCGGCCACAUUAGGACUGAGAUACGGCCCAGACUCCUACGGGAGGCAGCAGUGGGGAAUAUUGCACAAUGGGCGGAAGCCUGAUGCAGCAACGCCGCGUGCGGGAUGACGGCCUUCGGGUUGUAAACCGCUUUCGCCUGUGACGAAGCGUGAGUGACGGUAAUGGGUAAAGAAGCACCGGCUAACUACGUG